ensembl:misc_RNA Metazoa_SRP Metazoan signal recognition particle RNA
GCUGGGCAUGGUGGUGCAUGCCUGUGUUCCCAUCUACUUGGGAGGCUGAGUUGGGAGGAUCUCUUGAGCCUAGGAGAUCAAGGCUGCAGUGAGCUGAGACUGAGCCACUGCACUCAAGCCUGGGUGACAGAGUGAGACCCUGCCUCAA